UGGCGACCGGCGCAUGGGUGAGUAACGCGUAUCCAACCUGCCCUUUACUAUGGGACAGCCCGUCGAAAGGCGGAUUAAUACCGUAUGUUGUCAUGUUGAUGCAUAUUUUCAUGACCAAAGGCUUCGGCCGGUAAAGGAUGGGGAUGCGUCUGAUUAGCUUGCCGGCGGGGUAACGGCCCACCGGGGCGACGAUCAGUAGGGGUUCUGAGAGGAAGGUCCCCCACAUUGGAACUGAGACACGGUCCAAACUCCUACGGGAGGCAGCAG
rnacentral:rRNA from 1 species